rnacentral:rRNA from 1 species
AGCCUGAUGCAGCCAUGCCGCGUGUAUGAAGAAGGCCUUCGGGUUGUAAAGUACUUUCAGUUGUGAGGAAGGGGGUGUCGUUAAUAGCGGCAUCUCUUGACGUUAGCAACAGAAGAAGCACCGGCUAACUCCGUGCCAGCAGCCGCGGUAAUACGGAGGGUGCGAGCGUUAAUCGGAAUUACUGGGCGUAAAGCGCAUGCAGGUGGUUCAUUAAGUCAGAUGUGAAAGCCCGGGGCUCAACCUCGGAACUGCAUUUGAAACUGGUGAACUAGAGUACUGUAGAGGGGGGUAGAAUUUCAGGUGUAGCGGUGAAAUGCGUAGAGAUCUGAAGGAAUACCAGUGGCGAAGGCGGCCCCCUGGACAGAUACUGACACUCAGAUGCGAAAGCGUGGGGAGCAAACAGGAUUAGAUACCCUGGUAGUCCACGCCGUAAACGAUGUUACUUAUUGUGGCCUUGAGCCGUGGCUUUCGGAGCUAACGCGUUAAGUAGACCGCCUGGG